UGUGACAAACGUUUCACACGCCUGGCC
rnacentral:piRNA from 1 species